rnacentral:rRNA from 1 species
GACGUAGGUGGCGACCGUUAUCCGGAAUUAUUGGGCGUAAAGGGUGCGUAGGUGGUCUGACAAGUUAUCAGUGGCAAAUCGAGGCUCAACCUCGUGGAAACUGGUAAUACUGUUCGGCUUGAGUACAGGAGAGGUUAACGGAACUCUAUGUGGAGCGGUAAAAUGCACAGAUAUAUAGAAGAACAUCAAUAAAGGCGAAGGCAGUUAACUAUUCUGUUACUGACGCUGAGGCACGAAAGCGUGGGGAGCAAAACGG